AUUGAACGCUGGCGGCAUGCCUUACACAUGUAAGUCGAACGGUAACAGGUCUUCGGAUGCUGACGAGUGGCGAACGGGUGAGUAAUACAUCGGAACGUGCCUAGUAGUGGGGGAUAACUACUCGAAAGAGUGGCUAAUACCGCAUGAGAUCUACGGAUGAAAGCAGGGGAUCGCAAGACCUUGUGCUACUAGAGCGGCCGAUGGCAGAUUAGGUAGUUGGUGGGAUAAAAGCUUACCAAGCCGACGAUCUGUAGCUGGUUUGAGAGGACGAUCAGCCACACUGGGACUGAGACACGGCCCAGACUCCUACGGGAGGCAGCAGUGGGGAAUUUUGGACAAUGGGCGCAAGCCUGAUCCAGCAAUGCCGCGUGCAGGAUGAAGGCCUUCGGGUUGUAAACUGCUUUUGUACGGAACGAAAAGCCCUGGGUUAAUACCCUGGGGUCAUGACGGUACCGUAAGAAUAAGCACCGGCUAACUACGUGCCAGCCGCCGCCGUAAAAC
rnacentral:rRNA from 1 species